rnacentral:rRNA from 1 species
UACGGGGGGAGCAAGCGUUGUUCGGAUUUACUGGGCGUAAAGGGCGCGUAGGCGGUCAGCACAAGUCAGUUGUGAAAUCUCCGGGCUUAACCCGGAAACUGCCAUUGAUACUAUUUGUCUUGAAUACCGUGGAGGUCAGCGGAAUAUGUCAUGUAGCGGUGAAAUGCUUAGAUAUGACAUAGAACACCAAUUGCGAAGGCAGCUGGCUACACGAAUAUUGACACUGAUGCACGAAAGCGUGGGGAUCAAACAGG